GCGCCGGUAGCUCAACCGGAUAGAGCAGCGGCCUUCUAAGCCGCAGGUUCAGGGUUCGAGUCCCUGCCGGCGUA
rnacentral:tRNA from 1 species